GCUGGGGCGGCCGGGGCGGGGAGGCCGGGCGGCGCCGGCGAGCCGCGAGGACCCUGCGCAGUGGGCCGGGCGCGAGCCCGCUCCCGUCCCCUCCGGAGCGGGCGGAGGGAGGAAGUGGAGCCCGGGGGUGGGAGCGAGGCCCGCGGCGGACCCCCGCUCCGUCCCUCUGGGAGCCGCGGACCCAGCCCGCCGCGGGGUUGGGUCUUGCCUCUCCUCUUGGAUUGGAAGGCAGAGGCUGUCUCCAAACCAGCCGGCCUCGGAGGCGUGUUUGGUAAGAGUUUGGCAAAGAUUCUUGGGCUGAGGGGAGGCUGUUCAAGGGACGCGUUGAUGGAGCGCCCCUGGCCCCUGGACAGCACUUUGCCCAAGCUCUCUGGACUCUGUUGUCUUGAGGGUCACAAGAUCUUCCAUAGCCCCUACUUUGGACAGACUUAGGAUUGGUGCCUGGAAGCCAGCAGCAGCCGCACCGACAGGAACACGGAUCAGGGUUGUCACCCCUAGUUUUGCAGAAGAAAACAAAAUAAUUCCAGGCUCCGUGUUUAGCAACUUACAUGCGUUCCUCACAAAAGCCCUGGCAGGUAGCAAUUACUUUACCCAUGUUAUAGGAAGGAAACUGAGACAGGCCCCCGACCCCCAACUGAUUGGCUCAAGGUUAUACACAGAUCUGCUUCUUCCCAAAACUGUGGUUUAAUCUCCUCCAAAUGUGAAGGAAACUGAGGCCCAGGGAAGUUACAUCCAGCUAAUUGGUGCUAGGACAGGACAGAACCUCCCUCCCAGUUCCUCCUGUAUCUGGUCUCUGGUGUGUGCCUGGCUUUGUGCAGAGGAAUGCAUUUCUUCCCUAUCCUCCUCCGGAUCUAUUUUAAAAGAAAAGACAUUUCCUGUUCUUAAAGCCAAGUUCAAAUGCCACUGCUUUCCUGAUGCUUUCCCUGUGACACCACUUGAUACCUCUCAUGGGACUUAGCAAAUAAUUGCAACAAGGCAUACUAUGUGUUAGUUAAACCUAACUUGAGGGCCCACGGUGUGCCGGACUGAAGGCCUACUAUGUCUGUAAACUCCCCUCCUUGCAGGCAGGAAGCACAUUGUUUAGGUUUCUCUUUUAUCUCACAUAAGAUGCUUUUAAAAUUCUCUAGGGAAGGAGUGAACAGUUAUGUUUCUGUCCUCAACAAGCUGCAUUGGAUUUGAAGAAAUACGCAGAAACAUGCUAAGGACUAACACCCAAGGUUGAGAAUAGAAAUGUAAAGAGAACUUGGACAGCAAACUAUUGGGCUGUAUGCAGGAAGUCCUUCUGGGGCUGAAAUACCUCAAAGAAUGGAUUUGCAUAGGAGAGCAGGGAGGAUAUUUCUGUGGCAGAAGUGGGGUGAGUUCAGGACACCUGCCUCUGCAUGAAGGGUGUGUGCUGCAUAUAGAGAUGAGCCAGUGGAGUGGGUCCAGAUGCCAGAGGGCUACAAUAGUCACUAUUAGUGAGGGAGGCCAGAGUAAAUUAUAGCAGGUCCUGCAGCGGAACCUGCUAUAACAUAAUCAUCUGCCCCAGACAGAGGACCAUCCUCACACUUGGUGGCUACCAGGAACGAUAGUAAAAUACUUGGUUCCACAGGGCACAGGACGCUACCUGGGUGGCACAGAGAUGGCAGAGGAAAACGGACAACCCAGCAGAUUAGAAGGUUCUCAGAAGAACCUGCUUUAAAAACGGUCCAGCUGUGUUCAAAUUGUGCUUGGAAUUUCUAGUGCACAAAAGAGAUCAUCCUCCUUCAGGCAGUCAUCCAUGUCGGGGGCAGAGACAGUGAUAAUGCAGAACAGCUUGCUGGGGCCCAGCCAAAUGCUGGCCCCGGAGGCGGGAGACCUGCUUUUUGAGCCUUGGCUCUGCCACCAGUGUGACCUUGGGAAGUGUACUUAACCUCCUCUCGGAGUUUCAGGGUCACCCCUUCUGUAAAGUGCAUCUCUAAAGAUCGUAUUAUUUAUAUAAACCUCUUUCUUAGAGAGAAUAGUCAUCUGAUAUGGAGAACAGUUCAGUGAUACCUACGCUUUUUUUUUCAGCUGGCAGACUGCAGGCCAGAGAUAGAAUGGAAGGAUUCUCAGCUUGUGCUUCUACCUGGAAGAACAGAGGGUGGGGCGAGGGGACUGUAGCUUUCAGUGUUUCCCUCUCACCGUUUUUUUCCUCUGGGCGCAGUGAGUAUGAUGGUUAAGAUGGCUCUGGAACAAACCAACUUGGGUUCAGACUCAAUGGACUACAGAGUGUGACCUCUCUGAACCUCAGUGUCUUCAUCUUUAAGAUGACAGUUACAAGAACUACUUUCCCAGGUUGUUGUAAGGAUUAAAUGAGAGACACCAUAUGACUCUAGACACAUAGAGGAAGGCUCCAUGAGAAAAAGGUAGCUAACAAUUUGCAGAGUCACCAGGGGCAAGUAUAACUUCACAGAGUUUCUGUGUCUAGACUUCAAGGAUUUUCUUUCAUCCUUAGUUCUUGGAUCUCCAGCACCAUAUGUGGCUUACAAACCACACGCUAUGAUGUGUUGAACUAAAAAAGGCAGCAGUGUUUUCCUUUAAGUAGGGCUCCACUGUGGUGUUUGGUUACACCCAGAGGAGGAGGCUGGCCAGUGGUCAUGGGAAUGUCUAGGGCAGCAAGGUCCAGUGGCUUUUGGAGAUUUCCAUUCUGCUGUCCCCUUUUCUGAGCCAGCACAGGACACAUUUAGGGGAGUUUCUCCUUCCCUUUUCCUCCUGACUCCUCCAUCCCUUCUCCCCAGAGUAUACUGGAUGGUCAGGAAUGCAGCUGGAACCAGAGACAUCUCCUCCGACCAACCCAACUUGCCUCAUAAAAUCUGCGGACAGUGCGGACCUUAGACUAUAGGGUGAAGAUUUGUAAGCCCACAGCCCUCUCGGUUUCCCUCAUUUCAGUUAGAAUGCAUGGAGCUCUCCCGUGAGGGCCGGUUGCCUCUUCUCCUGUUCCAGGUUGACAAGGCCCACAGAGGCCAACAUGAGCCCUGAAAUGCUCUCCAAACUGAGGGUGGAUGGAGGUGGGGGGAGUUCUCCUUCACAGUUGGCUUUUCGUCCUAAUUGCUUUCGGCAUCUCCCACUUCCAGUAAACUCCACGGUGAGUUACCUGCUGAUGGAGCCACUGGCAGCUCACAUGCGGGUUAUUGAAACAACCUCCCACCUGGCCUCCCAGACCAAGAACCUGCUGCCCUGUUGUCUGUUUUCAGCAUAAAGUCGAGAACAUCUUCACUUAAAUAUAAGUCAAUUCAUGUCACACCUCUAUCCAAAACCCUCUGAUGACUUUCCAAGACAGGACAAAAGCCAGAAUUUUUACAGUGACCUCUCUGUUCCCAUGUUCUGCCCCCUGCCACCUCUUAUCUCAUCCUGUUACACCCCUUGCUGACUGCCUUCUGGCCACAUGGGCCUCCUUGUUGCUCCUCAGUAUGUUCCUACCUCAGAGCUUUGGAAUUUUGUUCCCUGGGCCUGGCAACUUUACCCCAGGUAUCUACAAGGUUCUUUACUUCUUCAAAUUAAAUGCCACAUUGACCACCCUAUGUAAAGGAACUUUAUUUAGUUCUAUCUUCUAUCCCCAGUGCCUAGAAUGAUGCCUAGUGCUCAAAAAAUGUUACAAAUAUCACAUUAUUAAAACUUGUCUACAUAGGGCCUUCCCUUUCAUAAGACAUCCAAGAGGGAGAACAGUGGAAGGAAGGAACUCAAUGAGUAUGGCCUCCAAGAGCUCCAGCACUAUGAUCUUGGGAACGAUGACAAUGGCAGUGAUGAUGGUGGCAACGGUGGAGGUGAUUCGAUGGUAAGAUGGUGGUGAUGGGAUGGUGACAGUGGUGGCAGUGAUGACAUCUAUGACAAUGAGCAGGAUGAUUGCUGCCACUGCUGGGCUGCAAGAGAGCUUCAGUGACACACGCCCUGUGGUCUUUGGUAUUUACUGAUCGCUUGCUGAAUGCCAGGCACCGUGCCAGGAGUUUUACCUUCAUUACCUCCUCUCAUUUCAGUGAGUCUCUGGUGUAGGCACCACAGCAGCACAUAUCCAGUGCCCAUGACACUGGACCACUUGCCCAAGGGGACACUACUUAAGAAUUGCAGAACAGGCUAGAAUCUAGGCAAUUGAGCCUAAAACUCACUCUCUGAGCUGGCAUACAAAUGUACAGACAGAGGAGGACAGAGGGCCUGAAGGGUAAGUAAACCCCAGGUAAACCCC
rnacentral:lncRNA from 1 species